rnacentral:rRNA from 1 species
GGGUCAGUGGGUCGGUCGUGCCACUGGUAUGUACUGGCCCUACUGAUUCCUCCUUCUUGAAGAACUGUAAUGCCAUUAAUUUGGUGUUGCAGGGAAACAGGACUGUUACUUUGAAAAAAUUAGAGUGUUCAAAGCAGGCAAUCGCUUGAAUACAUUAGCAUGGAAUAAUAAAAUAGGACUCCGGUUUUAUUUUGUUGGUUUUAAAAACCGAGGUA